rnacentral:misc_RNA from 1 species
GAUGAAGAACGUAGCUAAAUGCGAUACGUAGUGUGAAUUGCAGAAUUCAGUGAAUCAUCGAAUCUUUGAACGCACAUUGCACCUCUCGGUAUUCCGGGAGGUAUGCCUGUUCGAGCGUCAUUUGUACCCUCAAGCUCUGCUUGGUGUUGGGUGUUUGUUCCGCCUCUGUGUGUGAACUCGCCUCAAAACAAUUGGCAGCCGGCGUACUUGUUUCGGAGCGCAGCACAUUUUGCGAUCCAGAUCAACGUACAGCGGCAUCCAAGAAGCCUUAUUUAACGCUCUUGACCUCGGAUCAGGUAGGGAUACCCGCUGAACUUAAGCAUAUCAAUAAGCGGAGGA